ensembl:lncRNA
UUAGUUUUUGUUGUUUUUAUUUCUCAGUUGAAAUCACACAUAACCGGAAAGGGAGCAAAAAUCAUUUAGGAUAAAAAAAUAAAUACUAGUCACAACAUAUAAAGUGAUUUAUAUGUUUUGCUUUUGAAACAGGAUCCGGAUUCACAAUAACAAUCAAUGAGACUCAAGUCCAGGAUGUGGUUUCAGACUAAAUUGUCUUAUUUUCAGCUUGGGUUUCACCAGUCGAUAAGAUGGGGAACAACAAGUGCAUCAUUAACAUGCGACUAGGAGCCAUAAUGGGACAGGAGUAGGGGACGAGUACUGCUGGAGUAGGCCUGCUCGUCUGAAGUGCAUCUGUGAGCUACAUCUCACUAGCAUGAUGAGCCCUCAUGCAGACGAUUCCGUCGCUUCCUGUAGAAACAAACAACAAAGUGGUCAAUGCAAAAAAUACAUUUUAAAUACAAAUGAGUACUUUCACAUUUUCUAACAAUGAGCACGUUUCCACAUGCAGGGCGUUCCUCUACAGCUGAAGGAAGCAUGAUCGCUGGGUUUCACACACAAUUGGCUUCUUUUCAGUUUUUCUAAUAUAUUGGUUAAGACAAGGAGAAAGUUGUGCGCUGAACAGCAAGAAAUAUUUGGAAGUCAAAUAUGGUUGAUAAAAUUGGCUCAUAUUCAGCUUUUCAGUCAAAAAAUUCAUAAACCACAUUAUAUUAGAGACAUUAGAGAACCUACUACUGUUCAGUGUCAUAGCGCAACAUUUCAGCUAUAUCUCUAUCUGUUGACACACUAACCAAACUUGUGUCCGUCCUUAUUUAUAAAUAAUAGUACAGGCGAGAACACAAACAAACUACAGAGUUUUGGUUGAUGGACCAUACAAAGAACAGUCAUCAUUGGAGCUGUGGCCUCACCCUAAAUGCAGUCCAGAGGAUGAUGAUGCAUGGGGCUCGCCCAGCUGGGAGCCUGUUGAAGGAUCUGGCCAGUCUUCAGCCAUUCUGUUGAACAAUAGGAAGCGGUUAGCAUGAAUAGCAUGACGCAAAAAUAAUACAUGCUCCCAGUCUUUUUACAAGCGGUUUCAUAAAUAUUGGCUUAUUAAACAAAUAGUGUUUCCAUCAUAGUCGAUCAGCCGGGGAAAGAAUGUUAAUCAUAAACCACCAAGCAUAACUUCAGCCAUCAAUAUAACACACGGAGCCGUCUUACCCUCGGACCCCAAUGACCACGGCCAGGGUGGCCUUAGCGGAGGUGGAUCAGUCCUGUACCCCCUGGUACGCCCAGCAGGCUUCUAGACGAGCUUCCUGGUCACCUUGAAAGACUAACGUCAGAGAACAAGAAGCCUUGAUGAGUACAUGGGUAUACGAACAGGCCAGCUAUGAUGCUAACA